ensembl:rRNA 5S_rRNA 5S ribosomal RNA
GUCUACGGCCGUCCCAGCCUCAACGCGCCCGAUCUCGGCUGAUCUCGGCAGCUAAGCAGGGUCGGGCCUGGUUAGUCCUUGGAUGGGAGUAUGAGAUUUGAGAGGCGCCUGGUUGGCU